UACGUAGGGCGCAAGCGUUGUCCGGAAUUAUUGGGCGUAAAGAGCUCGUAGGCGGCUUGUCACGUCGAUUGUGAAAGCCCCGAGGCUUAACCUCGGGUCUGCAGUCGAUACGGGCUAGCUAGAGUGUGGUAGGGGAGAUCGGAAUUCCUGGUGUAGCGGUGAAAUGCGCAGAUAUCAGGAGGAACACCGGUGGCGAAGGCGGCUCUCUGGGACGGUACUGACGCUGAGACGCGAAAGCGUGGGGAGCGAACAGG
rnacentral:rRNA from 1 species